UGCGUAGGCGGCUUUUAAAGUUAGAAGUGUAAUACCUGGGCUUAACUUAGGUGCUACUUCUAAAACUUAAGAGCUUGAGUGUGGGAGAGGUAAGUGGAAUUCCUAGUGUAGCGGUGGAAUGCGUAGAUAUUAGGAGGAACACCAGUGGCGAAGGCGACUUACUGGACCAUAACUGACGCUGAGGCACGAAAGCGUGGGGAGCAAACAGGAUUAGAUACCCUGGUAGUCCACGCCUUAAACGAUGGAUACUAGGUGUAGGGGGGUAUCGACUCCCCCUGUGCCGACGUUAACACAAUAAGUAUCCCGCCUGGGGAGUACGGCCGCAGGUUGA
rnacentral:rRNA from 1 species